rnacentral:rRNA from 1 species
GACGAGCGCUGGCGGCGUGCCUAACACAUGCAAGUGGAGCGACGAACCAGGGCUUGCCCUGGGGCCAAGCCGCGAACGGGUGAGUAACACGUGGGUAACCUGCCCCGAUGACCGGGACAACCCGAGGAAACUCGGGCUAAUACCGGAUGUGGUGGACACACUUAAGUGUGUCCACUAAAGGAAGCUUCGGCCUCCGCAUUGGGAUGGGCCCGCGGCCCAUUAGCUAGUUGGUGGGGUAAAGGCCUACCAAGGCAACGAUGGGUAGCUGGUCUGAGAGGACGAUCAGCCACACUGGGACUGAGACACGGCCCAGACUCCUACGGGAGGCAGCAGUGGGGAAUCUUGCGCAAUGCGCGAAAGCGUGACGCAGCAACGCCGCGUGAGGGAAGACGGCCU